AGGGUUGUAGCUUAAUGGUAGAGCGCUUGCCUCACAUGUGUGAGGGCCCUGGGUUCGGUCCCCAGCACCACAU
rnacentral:tRNA from 1 species